AAGGCAUUUUUAAAGGUGUUUUUAAAAAUGCAUUGAAAGAAUUUUUCGAAAAAAGAGAAAGGGGAACAACUUUACCUUUCUCCUAAUCAUUUAAAAACUCAUAGUCAAUCACCUAAGAGUGAGAUCCAACUGAUGACUAAAAUCCAACAGAUUAGUCUGAAUAUUUCUGGUAAUGUGAACCUGACAUGACCAGAUAAUAACUGCAUUAUUUAAAAAAACAUUACUAGUAUCUACUGAAUAUUGGCUGAUAUCACAAUUUUCUUAUUACUUUCUGGAAAAAAAAUUUAAGAUACUUUUACCUGCUCUUUUAGGGACUAAACAAUUCUAUGUGUCACAAUUCAUGAAAACAGCAUUUUUUUUUCAUAUUUCUAGGUUGUUUGUCAACUGGUGAGCAAACACCCAUAAUGCUCCUUGGCAUCUAUCAAAAUAUUCUGAGUCGCUUGUAACAACAGAGCACUGAUCCAGGAAAGUUUAGACAUUACUAAGUAAACAGUGCACAGAUGUGGGUGCUGAAAAAUUAAUACCACACCACCUUCUGAUAAGCUGUUGCUCCAAAAAUGCUUCUGCAAAAACAGCAUGAAACAAGCCCAAAGCACAAAUAGUCAUGCAAUCACAACAUAAAUGAAUCAUAAAGCAUUAAAACAGAAAUGUCAAGCUCUGGCAUCAGGUACAAUUUGUGACAAAUUACUCAGCCUCACACCUAUUUCUUCAUGCCAUCUCACUGGUAGAGAGAAUACUGGAAGUAAGAGUAACUUGUCACCUUUUUUGAUGUUUGUAAUCUUCCUUCUUAUAUCUCAGAAAAAAAUCCACUUUCAUUCUGAAUGUUCAAAAUAAGUACUUACUAUUCUCAGAUAAGAUGUUCUAAUAAAGUACCAAUUUUAUCACAAAUGAAGGCCACGGGAACCCUAGGAGGUUGCUGCUGACAUCUAGUGGCAUAAUUUUUUCAAUGCUAAAUGUAUCACAAAUGUAUAUCCAGAGAGAGGGGAUAGAUGUACCACAAACAUAUGUCUUGCAAAGUCUAGUAGACAUCCUAUGCUACAAAUUAUUUGCUUCUGCUCACACCACUCUACCUCCAGUGACUCGCUUCCCCUUCCAAAAUAAUGCUACUGCUACAAAACUGGAGAAAUGAAAACCAACACAUCUGUUAAAGCCUUAAGAGAACUGAGUCCCCCAAAAUGCCUAGUCCAUUACGGAAUUGCCCCAAUUCCCAAAGGCUCUGCCCCAACCUCAGUAGUCUUAAUUUUAUCUCAACUUCCCAAAUAACCAGAGCCCUUCCCCAAACUCCACACCUAGCAUUUAGGUACUUUCAGGGUCAUGGUCUAAAGAGACUUGCUUAUAGAGCUGGGAUAUGUUAAUUCACAUUCAUACCCACAAACACACAUGCUCACACGGUCACGAAGUAUAAAAUAAUGCCAUUUGCAGCAACAUGGAUGGACCUAGAGAUUAUCAUACUAAGUGAAGUCAGUCAGACAGAAAAAGACAAAUACCAUAUGGUAUCACAUAUGUGGAAUCUAAAAUAUGACACAAAUAACCUAUCUAUGAAAUAACAAUUGACCCACAGAUACAGAGAACAAACUUGUGGUCGCCAAGGGGUGUAAGGGUGUAAGGGAGGAAUGGACUGGGAGUUUGGGAUUAGCAGAUGCAAACUAUUAUAUUAUAGAAUGGAUAAACAACAAGAUCCUACUGUAUAGCACAGGGAACUAUAUUCAAUAGCUUAUGAUAAAUCAUAAUGGGAAAGAAUAUGAAAAGUAUAUAUAUAUAUAUACACAUAUAUAUAUACAUAAGACUGAGUCACUUGCUAUAGAGCAGAAGUUCACACAGCAGUGUAAAUCAACUAUACUUCAAUAAAACUUUCAAAAAACGGUCAUGAACUCCCUGUGCAUGAGAUUCAAUAUUUAUUGAAAAUUUUAAAAUAGCUAUCAGGGACUGCUUUAAUGUUUCCAACCAUCCACAUGAACGAUGAAAUUGAGAUUGAUGUAAAAAAUGAUAAGAAGCAUAGAGAUAAUUUCUACAGGCAAGCAAAAAGAUUUACUCUAGAGCCUCUAUCCAUAUGCAGGUAUGUGCAGACAAGGGAUGUGUGUGUGCAGAACAAGAGCAAGACAAGUUCGGCACGCACCCCAUUCCCACGAAAGCACUUGUGAGUAUAAGAGGUAAACACCAAAUCGAUGAAUGAAUGAAUAAAUGAAUAAGGUGGCAAAUUACAAUAGAACUUUCCCCCUAUUGAUUCUGAUGUAAGGUAUGUUAUAUAGGCAGUGUUGUUUUGCUCUUUAGGCAAAAGUGCCUUUGUGGAGUAGUUCAGGUUAGAUUUUUCUCCCAUGACAUGUGCAAAGGAGCACAAAGCCAGUGCGUGAUUAAGUUGGGUAAUAUCCCUUUGGUUAAGGGAGUGUAUGUUCAUAAUUGGAAAUUAUUUGCUCUAUAAAUUGGUACAGUUGAAUUUAGAUUUUAUUCACAUUGAAAAGAUGUGAUAAAGGGAGAAGAGCUUCUCAAGUUGGUCCUAAUUUAGCAAUGUUUAAAUAAUACAAAACAUUGCUAAAUUAUAAUUCUCAUAGUACAAAGGCAUCUUCUGGCCGUUUAAAUAUUCGUUCAAUGGAAAUCUUAGAGACACGAGAAGCUCAUUCAUUCAAAGCCUGUCUACUUCACUCACAUGUGGGACUAAAAGUAGAUGACAGAAGAAUCUUUUUUACAAUCUCACUGAAGGAAAA
rnacentral:lncRNA from 1 species